GGCUACAAUGUGAAGCUUCUUUAUGGGACAAGUCAUAGCUCUUGCAAUACAUUUGUUGGUGAUCAGCAAAAGCAGAAGCUGAAACUGCUCAGCAGGGUGUUUUCAAGAAGGUUUUUGGAGGAAUUAAAGCUUUCUGGUUACAGCUUUUGAAGAAGAACAAAUCAUUUAAUGAUGCUGCAGUGAAACCAGCCAACCGAAUGUAUUCCUGCUACUACAAGAGGCCGAGAUCCAAGUUUUUAUUUGCAGCACCCUGAAGUUGUCUACACUAAACAUCAUCUGUCAGGUGCAUCUUUUGCGGCUUCCACUGGGAUUGGAAAUCCUCCAUUUUGGAUUGUUUAUAAUAAUUAUUGAUUAUUUUGAUAACUACAACAGGAUAUAUAGUAUUCUUACUGUAUAACUUAAUGUAUAACUAUAUAACUGUAUAACUGUUUAGUAGAGUAGUACUCCUAAUACAGAUUCUUGAGGUACAUCUCCUUAAGCCAAUGUAUUCACUAUUUAUAUAAUUAUGCACCAUAUUAGCUACACAUACAUUUAUUCAUUGCACAUAAUUAUAUAUUAUUUUCCAUAUCAGAGUAGAAAGUGAACAGAUUAUUCAAUAUGCCUCAUAGUUCAUCAUUAUUGAGAUGCCCUCUUUGUUAUUCUUUUAAAAAAUUAAAUAAAACUAAAAAAAAAAUACAUUUUAAGUUUAAUUAAAAAAACUGUUCCAAUGACAACUGUAUAAAGAUGGUGUUGUAAUAAUCAGGUUAAACUAGUUUUAUGAAGGGUAUCUGAAGCCAGAAAAUAUUGAUUAAACCUUGAAAUAUCAGAUGUACAGUAUGCUGUAUUACUUUCACCGAUAAGAAGGACUAUCAAGAACCUAAUUGUCUGUUUAUUUUUAGUCAGCUACUAUAUUUAAUAUCUGUAUAUUUAAACAAGUCUUGAAGUUUAAUUUGUGCAUCACAGGAACCAUCAAUUGUAGUUUUCUGUGAGUCUCAGUACUUAUUGAUUCAGCUUACUGUAUGCAGCAUGCAAUGUUUCUUGUUUUUUAAUAAAACCAGGGGUCAUUAGAGUUUUUCAGAAACAUAGCGCUGUAUCUGUUACCAUCUGUUCAGUUUUAUUAUCCUUCUAUACUAAUAAUGUUACAGAUAAGAGGGUCCUUUAAACCAACUGCUUUAUUUAAAACAUCCAACUAAUGGCUAAGAUGUCCUGUAAUAAUUAAAUAACAUCUACUGAUAAAAGAGGGCUUGGUCUCAUUUAAGGAUCCUCUUCUGAAAUGUUAGAUAGCAACUCCAGGCUCAUUUUAUUGAGAAAAGUGAAUGUUCACAAACAGGCCACAAAACACUGUUACGAUCAGAAAAUAAGAUUGCAGGAAAAAAUCAAUUGCAUUGUGGUCAGUAUUAAUCUCCCAUCAAUAUAGGCAGUAUCUUUUACUUUUCAUGGUAAUUGCCCUAGUGAUCUCCUAAAGUGGCUCUCAAGUGCUUAGAGGGCCUGCUGAUAGCAUCUUAUCAAGGCCUAUAGGAGUGUUGUCAAGGAACAUUCAGGAGUCCAGUCUACUCAGGGAAAAUGUACUCUGUACAAUGUGCCAUUUACUUUGACAAAUGAUACUGGGGUGUCAGAGGCGUCAGUUUAUAUUUGCUCAGUGCAUAUUUCUUUGUUAAUACAGAGUGGUCUCACUCACAGACUUUCUCUAGCAUUAUUUUUAUGCAAGAUAGACUUUCUUUCACACAGACUCUAGGGUUCAGCGAAAGAAAAUAGGCCUGACUCCACUCGCCACUUAAGGAAGUUAUGUUAGCUAUUGCACUCUGAAUGUCCCAGAGCUACUCCUGGCUAUUCUCAGGCUUUGCAGAACUCUGUGUGCGACGUGCAGAGAAUGGCAUCUAGAAAAAAAACAUCCCUUUGAGCAUAUUUGCAAGUUUUAACAGUGAGGCUUCAAAAGGCAUUUAUCCCACGCUUUUGCUUUUGCCUAAAGACCUUAGUGCUCAUGUACAUGAGUAUGACAAGUAGUCCUUUCAUAACUGGAUAGCUGGAUACAGGAAAUUUAUACAACAACCAUAAUACCUACUGCAUCUAGAGAAAACUUUCUAUCUUCCAAAUUAAACUUGGAACCUUGAACGUUUAUUGGUAUAAAAAUGUAAAUGUAUUUUGGUUAAUUUAUGUGAAUUUCCUUAACUACAAAUACUUUCACUUCUUUAAUUCUGCUACUGAAAAUGAUAUUAAUACUAAGGAUUUUUAUAAAUGUGUUUGCACCAUUAAAGAAAGGAGGUGGAAUUUCAACUUGAAUGUCAGAUAUAACAGAAAUAGUUACGCUUUGAAACAUUGGGAGGUUUCUGUCAUUUUAUCAUUUUAUCUAUACUUAAUUUCUUUUCAGGGGUUUAAAUAAGAGUCAAAGUAAGUCUUGACUCUGAAAGCUACAGUAUAAUGUAAUAACAAAAAUGCCACCAAGUGAAAAACAUCACAUUUUUGUUAUAGUAAGAAAGCAUAAUGAAUGCAUUAGAAUUACUAACUAUAACACUUGGCAACUAAA